rnacentral:rRNA from 1 species
GACGAACGCUGGCGGCGUGCUUAACACAUGCAAGUAGAACGAUGACCAGGAGCUUGCUCCUGUGAUUAGUGGCGAACGGGUGAGUAACACGUGAGUAACCUGCCCCUGACUCUGGGAUAAGCGUUGGAAACGACGUCUAAUACUGGAUAUGAUCACUGGCCGCAUGGUCUGGUGGUGGAAAGAUUUUUUGGUUGUGGAUGGACUCGCGGCCUAUCAGCUUGUUGGUGAGGUAAUGGCUCACCAAGGCGACGACGGGUAGCCGGCCUGAGAGGGUGACCGGCCACACUGGGACUGAGACACGGCCCAGACUCCUACGGGAGGCAGCAGUGGGGAAUAUUGCACAAUGGGCGCAAGCCUGAUGCAGCAACGCCGCGUGAGGGAUGACGGCCUUCGGGUUGUAAACCUCUUUUAGUAGGGAAGAAGCGAAAGUGACGGUACCUGCAGAAAAAGCACCGGCUAACUACGUGCCAGCCGCCGCAGUAACAC